GUCUACGGCCAUAUCACUCUGAACUCGCCAGAUCUCAUCUGAUCUCGGAAGCUAAGCCUGGUUAGUAUUUGGAUGGGAGAAAGCUGACUAACAGUCUUUUUUUUUUUUCAAUUCAAAGCUGGAAAUG
rnacentral:rRNA from 1 species